UAACACUGAUUCACUGACGUACUUGCGC
rnacentral:sRNA from 1 species